rnacentral:rRNA from 1 species
UUUAGAGNUUUGAUUCCCUGCUCAGGACGAACGCUGGCGGCGUGCCUAAUACAUGCAAGUCGAACGCUUCUUUUUCCACCGGAGCUUGCUCCACCGGAAAAAGAGGAGUGGCGAACGGGUGAGUAACACGUGGGUAACCUGCCCAUCAGAAGGGGAUAACACUUGGAAACAGGUGCUAAUACCGUAUAACAAUCAAAACCGCAUGGUUUUGAUUUGAAAGGCGCUUUCGGGUGUCGCUGAUGGAUGGACCCGCGGUGCAUUAGCUAGUUGGUGAGGUAACGGCUCACCAAGGCCACGAUGCAUAGCCGACCUGAGAGGGUGAUCGGCCACAUUGGGACUGAGACACGGCCCAAACUCCUACGGGAGGCAGCAGUAGGGAAUCUUCGGCAAUGGACGAAAGUCUGACCGAGCAACGCCGCGUGAGUGAAGAAGGUUUUCGGAUCGUAAAACUCUGUUGUUAGAGAAGAACAAGGAUGAGAGUAACUGUUCAUCCCUUGACGGUAUCUAACCAGAAAGCCACGGCUAACUACGUGCCAGCAGCCGCGGUAAUACGUAGGUGGCAAGCGUUGUCCGGAUUUAUUGGGCGUAAAGCGAGCGCAGGCGGUUUCUUAAGUCUGAUGUGAAAGCCCCCGGCUCAACCGGGGAGGGUCAUUGGAAACUGGGAGACUUGAGUGCAGAAGUGAGANGU